rnacentral:rRNA from 1 species
UACGUAGGGGGCAAGCGUUGUCCGGAAUCAUUGGGCGUAAAGCGCGUGUAGGCGGUUCGGUAAGUCGGCUGUGAAAGUCCAGGGCUCAACCCUGGGAUGCCGGUCGAUACUGCCGGACUAGAGUUCGGAAGAGGCGAGUGGAAUUCCAGGUGUAGCGGUGAAAUGCGCAGAUAUCGGGAAGAACACCCGUGGCUAAGGCGGCUCUCUGGGACGGUACUGACGCUGAGACGCGAAAGCGUGGGGAGCAAACAGG